CCUUGGUGCGAUGUGGGCUCACCCUCACGGCUCUCAUAUCUGUACAACUAAUUCGGCCCUAGGUAGGUAGACCCUCAGCUCUGUGCUUAUCAGCUACCCAGAAAUUCUUCCUAGAGUACCGGGACUUAAAAGUUCAGGUGGAAACGCCCGCCGCAGACAAGCACCAAAUGCAUCUGAGUUGAGGUAGCUUUGCAAUUGAGACUUUCCCUGUGCUGGGUCAAUAGCAGCCAUAACCAACCAGCAAAACUCCGAAAACAUACUACUGCUGCAAUGAAAAUUCAAAAAUCUGCUCCUGCUGCAAAAAGCCUCACUACCAGCCGGUUCCAGCAGAAGAUAUCCAAAUAGCAAUCUAAUAAUGCUAGAACUUAGUUCAAAGCAACUCUUUCCCAACUCCGUCCAUGUCCAGCUGGAAGCAGCUAAGAGAUGAGUGUGACGUCCUUUUCCCCUAUAAAGGUUGCUUUGAGCUAAGUUAAAGCGUUAACCCAAAACUCAACCCAAACCCGUACCAAUUUUUUUAUUAAAAAUAAAAGGCAGGAAUGUCAGACCCCAGAAAAAAGAGUCUAACAUACAGAAGGCAUGUCUGA